ACCGUGGUGUGUAUUUACGUAUUCGAACACGAAAAUUUAUCAGAGCAAUCAUGAUAAAUAUAUUCGAUAAGUUUUACACUCGUUACUUAGCAACUUUCAAGGGACCACUAUCACAAAACGAUAAUUUUAGUCAAUCCACGAUAUAUCGCCUAUUUCGUGUGAUGUAUUAAAUGAGUAUCUUGCGCACAAUUAUUCGUAAAUAUUCUAAAAUGGCCGACCCAGCGAGAGUUGUUAAGUUUUACGAUAUGCUUAAGUACAUUCAUGAGCCUACAAAAGUGAUCAUCGAUGUACGUAAUCCAGAUGAAUUUAAAGAAGGGAACAUUCCGACCAGUAAAAAUAUACCAGUGGGAGUUAUACGUGAAGCUCUUUCAAUGACAGAGGAAGUCUUCAAGAAAACUUACUUAAACGAGAAACCUUUAGAAUCAGCGGAGAUAAUAUUCUACUGUAAAUCAGGAAGGCGAGCGACAGUGGCUUUGGAGCAUGCAUUAGAACUUGGGUUUUCAAAGUCUAAAGUGUACAUUGGGAGCUAUGAUGACUGGUCCACCCAUUAAUUAAAACAAAGAUACAUAUAGGAUUUAGCUGUUAAGGUUUUAAGAAUUAAUAUAAAUAAAACAAUAUAUUUA